AUUGAAUGCUGGCGGCAGGCCUAACACAUGCAAGUCGAGCGAGCGGCGGACGGGUGAGUAAUGUCUGGGAAACUGCCUGAUGGAGGGGGAUAACUACUGGAAACGGUAGCUAAUACCGCAUACCAUCAGAUGUGCCCAGAUGGGAUUAGGUAGUAGGUGGGGUAAUGGCUCACCUAGGCGACGAUCCCUAGCUGGUCUGAGAGGAUGACCAGCCACACGGGACCUGAGACACGGUCCAGACGCCUACGUGAGGCAGCAGUGGGGAAUAUUGCACAAGGGGCGAAAGCCGGGUGCAGCCAUGCCGCGGGUGUGAAGAAGGCCUUCGGGUUGUAAAGCGCUUUCAGCGGGGAGGCGUUACCCGCAGAAGAAGCACGGGCUAACUCCGUGCCAGCAGCCGCGGUAAUAC
rnacentral:rRNA from 1 species